UACAGAGGGUGCGAGCGUUAAUCGGAAUUACUGGGCGUAAAGCGCACGUAGGUGGCGUCGUAAGUCGGGUGUGAAAGCCCCGGGCUCAACCUGGGAAUUGCAUUCGAGACUGCAUUGCUGGAGUACGGAAGAGGAGGGCGGAAUUCCCGGUGUAGCGGUGAAAUGCGUAGAUAUCGGGAGGAACAUCAGUGGCGAAGGCGGCCCUCUGGUCCAGUACUGACACUCAAGUGCGAAAGCGUGGGGAGCAAACAGG
rnacentral:rRNA from 1 species